UACCAGCACCCCGAGUGGUCGGGACGUUUAUUGGGCCUAAAGCAUCCGUAGCCGGUUCUACAAGUCUUCCGUUAAAUCCACCUGCUCAACAGAUGGGCUGCGGAAGAUACUAUGGAGCUAGGAGGCGGGAGAGGCAAGCGGUACUCGAUGGGUAGGGGUAAAAUCCGUUGAUCCAUUGAAGACCACCAGUGGCGAAGGCGGCUUGCCAGAACGCGCUCGACGGUGAGGGAUGAAAGCUGGGGAGCAAACCGG
rnacentral:rRNA from 1 species